ACAACAUUUGGACCCUCAGUCUACCGAACUAUACCACACCCGCUCAGUGGAAGAUCUUCCUUUUGUCCU
rnacentral:pre_miRNA from 1 species